AUUUAUGAUAGUUUAAAAAUUUUAGAAUAAUAAUUUGUGGUAUUAUUGGUGAAUAAUAUUUCUCUAAAUC
rnacentral:tRNA from 1 species